GGACGAACGCUGGCGGCGUGCCUAAUACAUGCAAGUAGAACGCUGAAGAGAGGAGCUUGCUCUUCUUGGAUGAGUUGCGAACGGGUGAGUAACGCGUAGGUAACCUGCCUUGUAGCGGGGGAUAACUAUUGGAAACGAUAGCUAAUACCGCAUAACAAUGGAUGACACAUGUCAUUUAUUUGAAAGGGGCAAUUGCUCCACUACAAGAUGGACCUGCGUUGUAUUAGCUAGUAGGUGAGGUAAUGGCUCACCUAGGCGACGAUACAUAGCCGACCUGAGAGGGUGAUCGGCCACACUGGGACUGAGACACGGCCCAGACUCCUACGGGAGGCAGCAGUAGGGAAUCUUCGGCAAUGGGGGCAACCCUGACCGAGCAACGCCGCGUGAGUGAAGAAGGUUUUCGGAUCGUAAAGCUCUGUUGUAAGUCAAGAACGGGUGUGAGAGUGGAAAGUUCACACUGUGACGGUAGCUUACCAGAAAGGGACGGCUAACUACGUGCCAGCAGCCGCGGUAAUACGUAGGUCCCGAGCGUUGUCCGGAUUUAUUGGGCGUAAAGCGAGCGCAGGCGGUUUGAUAAGUCUGAAGUUAAAGGCUGUGGCUCAACCAUAGUUCGCUUUGGAAACUGUCAAACUUGAGUGCAGAAGGGGAGAGUGGAAUUCCAUGUGUAGCGGUGAAAUGCGUAGAUAUAUGGAGGAACACCGGUGGCGAAAGCGGCUCUCUGGUCUGUAACUGACGCUGAGGCUCGAAAGCGUGGGGAGCGAACAGGAUUAGAUACCCUGGUAGUCCACGCCGUAAACGAUGAGUGCUAGGUGUUGGAUCCUUUCCGGGAUUCAGUGCCGCAGCUAACGCAUUAAGCACUCCGCCUGGGGAGUACGACCGCAAGGUUGAAACUCAAAGGAAUUGACGGGGGCCCGCACAAGCGGUGGAGCAUGUGGUUUAAUUCGAAGCAACGCGAAGAACCUUACCAGGUCUUGACAUCCCGAUGCUAUUUCUAGAGAUAGAAAGUUACUUCGGUACAUCGGUGACAGGUGGUGCAUGGUUGUCGUCAGCUCGUGUCGUGAGAUGUUGGGUUAAGUCCCGCAACGAGCGCAACCCCUAUUGUUAGUUGCCAUCAUUCAGUUGGGCACUCUAGCGAGACUGCCGGUAAUAAACCGGAGGAAGGUGGGGAUGACGUCAAAUCAUCAUGCCCCUUAUGACCUGGGCUACACACGUGCUACAAUGGUUGGUACAACGAGUUGCGAGUCGGUGACGGCGAGCUAAUCUCUUAAAGCCAAUCUCAGUUCGGAUUGUAGGCUGCAACUCGCCUACAUGAAGUCGGAAUCGCUAGUAAUCGCGGAUCAGCACGCCGCGGUGAAUACGUUCCCGGGCCUUGUACACACCGCCCGUCACACCACGAGAGUUUGUAACACCCGAAGUCGGUGAGGUAACCUUUUGGAGCCAGCCGCCUAAGGUGGGACAGAUGAUUGGGGUGAA
rnacentral:rRNA from 1 species